rnacentral:misc_RNA from 1 species
GAUGAAGAACGUAGCAAAAUGCGAUAAGUAAUGUGAAUUGCAGAAUUCAGUGAAUCAUCGAAUCUUUGAACGCACAUUGCGCCCGCUGGUAUUCCGGCGGGCAUGCCUGUUCGAGCGUCAUUUCAACCCUCAAGCCCCCGGGUUUGGUGUUGGGGAUCGGCUCUGCCCUUCUGGGCGGUGCCGCCCCCGAAAUACAUUGGCGGUCUCGCUGCAGCCUCCAUUGCGUAGUAGCUAACACCUCGCAACUGGAACGCGGUGCGGCCAUGCCGUAAAACCCCAACUUCUGAAUGUUGACCUCGGAUCAGGUAGGAAUACCCGCUGAACUUAAGCAUAUCAAUAAGCGGAGAA